rnacentral:rRNA from 1 species
AACGAACGCUGGCGGCAUGCCUAACACAUGCAAGUCGAACGAGACCUUCGGGUCUAGUGGCGCACGGGUGCGUAACGCGUGGGAACCUGCCCUUAGGUUCGGAAUAACUCCCCGAAAGGGGUGCUAAUACCGGAUAAUGUCUUCGGACCAAAGAUUUAUCGCCUUUGGAUGGGCCCGCGUUGGAUUAGCUGGUUGGUAGGGUAAAAGCCUACCAAGGCGACGAUCCAUAGCUGGUCUGAGAGGAUGAUCAGCCACACUGGGACUGAGACACGGCCCAGACUCCUACGGGAGGCAGCAGUGGGGAAUAUUGGACAAUGGGCGAAAGCCUGAUCCAGCAAUGCCGCGUGAGUGAUGAAGGCCUUAGGGUUGUAAAGCUCUUUUACCCGGGAUGAUAAUGACAGUACCGGGAGAACAAGCUCCGGCUAACUCCGUG